rnacentral:rRNA from 1 species
GAUGAACGCUAGCGGCAGGCUUAAUACAUGCAAGUCGAGGGGUAGCAAGAUUGUAGCAAUACAAUUGUUGACGACCGGCAAACGGGUGCGGAACACGUACACAACCUUCCUACAAGUGGGGAAUAGCCCAGAGAAAUUUGGAUUAAUACCCCGUAACAUAGCGAUGUGGCAUCACAUUGCUAUUAUAGCUUCGGCGCUUGUUGAUGGGUGUGCGGCUGAUUAGAUAGUUGGCGGGGUAACGGUCCACCAAGUCUACGAUCAGUAGCUGAUGUGAGGGCAUGAUCAGCCACACGGGCACUGAGACACGGGCCCGACUCCUACGGGAGGCAGCAGUAAGGAAUAUUGGACAAUGGACGCAAGUCUGAUCCAGCCAUGCCGCGUGAAGGAUUAAGGUCCUCUGGAUUGUAAACUUCUUUUAUAAGGGACGAAAAAAGGUCUUUCUAGAUCGUCUGACGGUACCUUAUGAAUAAGCACCGGCUAACUCCGUGCCAGCCGCCGCCGCAGUAA